AUUAAGACGAUUUUGCGGAUUUUUUAAAGCCCCCCCUCCCAUCUUGUAUUUACUCCAUAUAAACUUAUGCGGUAAAUAGACUAUACUGGACAUUGUACGGCGAUAGAAUUUAGUUAACAACGUUUUUUGCUUUACUCCACUACUCCACUAUUCUAAUCUGUUAUCGGUAAAGUCGAGCCUAUUAUUUUUUAAAGCAAGUUUAAUAAUAAUAAACAACUGAAACGUCGAAUAAACAAUUGAAUUUUGAUGAUGAAUUACAACUAAAUUUAUUUGGCUUAUACGACUUUUUUAUUCAUAGCAAAAAUUUAUGAUACUGAAUGCCAAUUAAAAAAACACGCAAUUUUGACUCAAUAAUGUAAAAUCAGUUUUCCAAUUAACAAAAUAAGCGAAUUUGGUAAAAGUAGUUGCAACGACUAAUCAAUUACCCAAAUAAAAAGCAAAGAAAAUUUCCUUCUCUAGCCUUUUUUUCAGCCCGGAACUGGAUAAGCACAAUAUUCCUUUUUUUUUUAGAAAAAAAAUUAUCUACCUUAGAUUGGAGAAAAUUCUUGUCAAGUCCACGGACAUAAUUUCCGUGGACUUUCUUCUGCUUUGCAUAAAAUACUUGCGAAAAUAUAAUCCAAAACCCACUUUCUAUCUGUACUGUUA